rnacentral:rRNA from 1 species
CCCUUAGAUGUUCUGGGCCGCACGCGCGCUACACUGAUGCAUUCAACGAGUCUAAAACCUGCUCUGAUAGGGGUGGGUAAUCUUUUGAAUGUGCAUCGUGAUUGGGAUAGAUGAUUGCAAUUUUUCAUCUUCAACGAGGAAUGCCUAGUAAACGCAAGUCAUCAGCUUGCAUUGAUUACGUCUCUGCCCUUUGUACACACCGCCCGUCGCUCCUACCGAUUGAAUGAUCCGAUGAAUAUCAUGGAUUGAGGAUGCAAGUAGGUUAGCCUAUCUUCAUCUUCGAGAAGUGAAGUAAAUCUUAUCAUUUAGAGGAAGGAGAAGUCGUAACA